CCUUUUACCCGCUGAUUUAAGCAUAUCAAUAAGCGGAGGAAAAGAAACUAACAAGGAUGCGCUUAGUAACGGCGAGCGAACCGCGCAAAGCCCAACUUGAAAAUCUCCCUMGGAGAAUUGUAGUCUAUAGAAGUACCCUCUGCAACGGGCUGAGCUAAAGUCUCCUGGAAAGGGGCGUCAGAGAGGGUGAGAACCCCGUAAGCUYACGCUUAGUUGCCUCACGAGGUGCUUUCRAAGAGUCGGGUUGCUUGGGAAUGCAGCCCAAAUUUGGUGGUAAAUCCCAUCUAAGCUAAAUAYUGGCGAGAGACCGAUAGCGAACAAGUACCGUGAGGGAAAGAUGAAAAGAACUUUGAAAAGAGAGUUAAAAAGUGCUUGAAAUUGUUGAGGGGGAAGCGUUUGAAUGCUMGGGUGCGCAGGCUUAUGGGUUCUUAACGGGCUCUGUAUGUGCUGYGCUGGCCAGCAUGGGUUAGGCUAGUGGGAAAAAGCUGGGUUGAUACCKGCUGCCACUGGCUUGACCAAGGCGUAAGACUGCCCUUGUCCUUCGGGAACUGCAGUCUCA
rnacentral:rRNA from 1 species